GACGAACGCUGGCGGCGUGCUUAACACAUGCAAGUCGAACGGAAAGACCCUGCUUUUGUUGGGUGUUCGAUUGGCGAACGGGGGAGUAACACGUGAGUAACCUGCCCUUAACUUUGUGAUAACUUCAGGAAACUGGGGCUAAAACCGGAUAGAAUCUCCUGCUGCAUGGUGGGGGUUGGAAAAUUUCGGCGGUUGGGGAUGGACUCGCGGCUUAUCAGCUUGUUGGUGGGGUAGUGGCUUACCAAGGCUUUGACGGGUAGCCGGCCUGAGAGGGUGACCGGCCACAUUGGGACUGAGAUACGGCCCAGACUCCUACGGGAGGCAGCAGUGGGGAAUAUUGCACAAUGGGCGGAAGCCUGAUGCAGCAACGCCGCGUGCGGGAUGACGGCUUUCGGGUUGUAAACCGCUUUCGCCUGUGACGAAGCGUGAGUGACGGUAAUGGGUAAAGAAGCACCGGCUAACUACGUG
rnacentral:rRNA from 1 species